GUUACUUGUGCCCACUUGGACCUAGUGGGGAGACCGGCGGAGUCGGCGGCCGAGCCCACUGGGAACUAUGGAAGAUAGUUCUCACCCCACUCUAUUUCCAGUGGUAGGUACAGGUUUACCGAGCGAGGACCGCGGCAAGGGCAUCGCGCCCAAUCAGUGAGACCGUGGUAGUAUAGUAGCUUUCCUUUUUGCAUUAGCACACCUAUGUAUUGAGAGAGAUUCAUGUAGGUGAGGAUUUGGAGAGCUAUGUAUUUUGAAUGAACAUAUGUAUUCAUUUUGAGGAAAAUAUGUACAUAUAAAAAGAUGCAAAACUAUUGCAAUAGUUAGUAAAGUACUCUCUUUAUUUCACUUAUUUUUACUUGUGGAUUACUUGCUCUUAGUUGUUGACACUACUUGUGCCCCGUUGAAUGUGUAUGUUUAGAAUUUAAAUUUCCUGGGUAAAUUCCUGUACACAUUCCUGUUGUUGAGCCUUGGGCGGACAGGGGAGGUGCUGUCCGUUCGGUGGUCCGCCCAGCGCGCCCGAAUCGUGCCAAAUUGGUAGUGGUUUCGGGGUGGGGCAUGACAGUCGCAUGCUAUCAGAGCAAUAAGAGCAAGUAAAGAGAGUGAGUCUAGGAUAACCUAGGAGACCCUAGGUUGGUAAGCCCUAAGGUUAUAGGUGCGUGAGCGGAACGUGAACCUAUAGCGAUGGCGGAAGUUGAUUCGAUUGGGUCGAAGUUGGUAAUAUGUCUCUAGUUGUGAUUAGAGACAGAUUCAAGUGGUAUGAGUUCUUGUCUUGAGGUGGUUGUGUCGGCUGCCGACGACAUGAUACCAAGAGUCUAGAACGAGUACACUUGUGUGCUUCCGCCCGAUUUCGUUGUUGAGUCGUUGUGUGUCGUAAUUGCGACGAGGCGAACGGAUUAAGAUAAUUGACCAAGUACUUGUGUUUCAGGAGCCAAUGGCACCAAGAGGACGCCCGAGCACGAGGUCUACUCCGGCACCGCUUCCCGAGGUGCCCGAGCAGGCUGAACCCAGCGAGAUGGAUCAGUUGCGAGCGCAAGUGACCGCGUUGACCAAUAUGGUGCAGCGCCAGGAGACCCGAUUCGAGCGGCUCCAGGAUCUUUUGGAGCGGCAGGUUGCGACGGUGGCUGCGACGGUGAAUGAGGGCGGUGGUUCGCCCGCACCCUCGACUCAUGUACCCGGAGCAGCAGAAUGUGAGGGUAUAGCGACGGUUCCGGUGACGGCACGCCCACCACCAGUGAUCGUACCACAAGCGGCGUCGGGAUCGGCUACACCCGAUGUGACGGCCGAAGAUGUGGAAGGAGAGCGCGGAUUGGCGGCUCUUAUUAAGUUCAACAAGUUCCAUCCGCCUACCUUUGAGGGCGAGAAGGUGGAGCCGGCGAUGGUCGAGUCUUGGAUCGAUUCGAUGGAGACUCUCUUUGAGGACUUGCGUACCUUGGAGAGGGAUAAGGUGUACCUUGCCACCCACUGUUUGGAGAAAGCGGCAAAGGUAUAGUGGAAGCGCGUGAAGCGAGAUCGGUCUUCCAGUCUCCCGCCGAUGCUGUGGGAGGAAUUCAAGCGGGAGAUGUUCGCCAACUACUUCCCCGAUACACUAAAGCGGAAGCUCAAGGAGAAGUUUCGCAAGUUGGAGCAAGGGGACCGCUCAGUGGCAGAAUAUGAACAAGAGUUCUCCCACAUCAUCGAUUGUGUUCCGAACAUUGUGAAGGAUGACCAGGACAAGGCCGAUUGGUUCUUAAGAGGACUUCGGCCGGGGAUUUAUAAGGCCGUGCAAAUACUCAAGCUCACGACCUUUGCGGAGGUCUUCGACCGAGCACUUUGGGCGGAGCACGGAGACGCCCAUGUCCGGGAGAAGCAUGAGAUAUUGGCCGAGUCCAAGGAUAAGGGCAAGAAACGCCAAGGCGGUAGCAGUUCGGGGGGACAAACACGUUCCAAGAAGCCCCCGAAGUAUCCACGGACUUAGCAAAAGGGCGGUGGAGCGCGGCGAUGCAUCAUAUGCGGCGGAGACCACCCAGUCUCGCGAUGUGAGCAGGGCCGAGGCAAGUGCUACAAGUGUGGGCAACCGGGGCACUUCAUUCGAGACUGCCCCGGAGGAGGAGCCUCACCUGCCCCAUCGAUUGCAUCGGCGCCGGUGAUUCCGCCUUACUAUGGAGGAGCUCCACCGGCGGCCGCGUCGACCGGACGCGCGGUGAUGCCUCGUCAACCCGAGGUGACGCGAUCAGCUCCGAGCAGUCGGGUAUUCGCCGCUCAGGUCCAAGCUGAAGAGCCUGUGGAGGCGGAGGAGCAUCGCCUUGUGGCAGGUAUGGUUUUAAUUAACGGAGUUCGCUCCAGGGCUUUAUUUGAUACAAGAGCCACGUAUUCAUUCAUAAGUAGAUCAUUCGCACGCAUGCAUGGCAUACCCAUAGAGGCGAGUGACAAGUGGCGAGUUGAGGGCCUUAGGUCGACUUUUAAUGCCUAUUCGGACGCUAGAACUCAAGAAGCUCGAGGCUUAUGACAUCAUUUUGGGCAUGGACUGGCUCUCGAAAUAUCAUGCAACGAUUGACUGCAAGAGCAGAGUAAUUACAUUUCGUGAGCCAGGACAAAAGGAGUUCACAUAUCGGGCUUGUCAGAGCUCGUGCUUCGUCGCAACGGUGUCGGCGACAAAAGCAAAAAAGUUGGUCAACAGCGGUUGCACGACAUUUUUGGCAACUGUUGUGGAAGUGGAACGAGUGACUCCGACAUUGGAGGAGCUAUCGGUAGUGCGGGAGUUCCCGGAUGUGUUUCCUGCGGAGUUGCCGGGGAUACCACCGAACCGGGAGAUCGAGUUCGUCAUAGACUUGGUUCCCGGUACCGCAUCGAUCUCGAAGGCUCCGUACCAAAUGGCGCCGGCGAAACUGAAAGAGUUGAAGAGUCAAUUGCAAGACCUCCUCGACAAGCAAUUUAUCCGGCCAAGUGUAUCACCGUGGGGAGCCCCGGUAUUGUUUGUACGGAAGAAGGACGGAUCGUUUCGACUCUGCGUGGAUUAUCGAGAGUUGAACAGAGUCACGAUCAAGAACAAGUACCCACUACCCCGAAUCGAUGACUUGUUCGAUCAGUUGCAGGGGUCGUGUGUGUACUCGAAGAUAGGCUUGCAGUCCGGCUAUCAUCAGUUGAAAAUUAAGCCGGAGGAUGUGCAGAAAACCUCGUUUCGUACGCGGUACAGGCACUAUGAAUUCACGGUCAUGCCAUUUGGACUCACGAACGCUCCAGCGGCAUUUAUGGACUUGAUGAACCGUGUCUUCAGGAAGUUUUUAGAUCGAUUUGUCGCGGUCUUCAUGGUCUAUUCUCGUAGUGACGAGGAACAUGCUGAGCAUUUGAGGAUAGUGCUUCAAACCCUUCGGGAGGAGAAGCUGUAUGCUAAGUUGAAGAAGUGUGACUUCUGGCUCCGAGAAGUUGCAUUUCUAGGGCAUGUGAUUUCCACGGGUGGAGUUUCUGUAGACCCGAGGAAAGUUGAGGCAAUCAAGGAUUGGCCGCGCCCGACGAAUGUCACGGAGGUUCGAAGCUUUGUGGGCUUGGCGGGCUAUUAUAGGCGGUUUGUGGAAGGCUUUUCCAAGAUAGUGAUUCCACUUACCCGCCUGACUCAGAAAGGCACCAAGUUUGUUUGAAGCGAGGAGUGCGACCAGAGUUUCAAAGAGUUGAAGCAGAGAUUAACUUCGACUCCGGUGCUCGCUCUACCGGUGCAAGGCGAGGACUUCGUAGUCUACAGCGACGCCUCCUAUCUAGGACUGGGGUGUGUUUUGAUGCAAAACAGGAAGGUGAUUGCUUAUGCAUCCCGUCAACUGAAGAGCUAUGAGAAGAACUAUCCCAUCCACGAUUUGGAGCUAGGAGCAGUAAUUUUGGCCUUGAAGCUGUGGCGGCACUACUUGUAUAGUGCCUAUUGUGAGAUUUACACAGACCACAAGAGUUUGAAAUAUCUAUUCACACAAAAAGAGCUCAACAUGAGACAGCAGCGGUGGUUAGAACUGUUAAAGGAUUAUGAUGUGGAUAUCCUUUACCAUCCCGGGAAAGCCAAUGUGGUCGCUGAUGCAUUGAGCAGAAAGUCGGCAGAGAACCUCUCGAUGUGGGUUACAAAUCAAUCACCCUUGUGGUUAGACAUGGAGCGGAUGAACCUUGAGGUGGUCGCUCCCGAGGUUCCGGCCCAGUUGAUGGCGCUCGUUAUUUAACCGACCUUGUUGGAGAGGAUCAAAGAUCUGCAACCCGCAGACCCAGAACUCCAAAUGGUACGGCGAAACAUCGAGGAAGGUCGAGGCGGCGAUUUCAAUUUAGACACCGGUGGUAUACUCCGGUUUCGAAACCGAUGGUGUGUGCCAAAAGAUAGAGAGCUUCGCGAGCUAAUUCUACAAGAAGCGCAUCGAUCUCUAUAUGCCGAUCACCCGGGCGGCACCAAGAUGUAUCAAGGACUAAAAAUACACUACUGGUGGCCGGGAAUGAAGGGUGAUAUUGGACGCUUUGUGGCGAAGUUCUUGACAUGCCAACAAGUGAAAACAGAGCGUCGAUUUCCAACGGGAAAGCUUCAAAGCCUACCAAUCCCCGUUUGGAAAUAGGAGGAUAUAUCGAUGGACUUCGUGGUCGGCUUGCCUCGCUCAACGGGCGGCCACGAUGCAAUUUGGGUAGUUGUGGACCGAUUGAUGAAGUCGGCUCACUUCUUGCCAAUCCACACCACGUGGUCGGGUGACAAGUUAGCGCAGGUAUACCUCGACGAGAUAGUGAGACUGCAUGGGGUGCCGAAAUCGAUCGUGUCGGAUCGUGACCCCCGAUUCACUUCACACUUCUGGAAGAGCCUGUAGGAAGCCCUUGGCACACGCUCGACUUUAGCACCGCAUUUCAUCCUCAGACCAAUGGGCAAACAAAGGGAAACAUUCAAACUCUGGAGGACAUGUUGCGAGCGUAUGUCAUCGACUAUAAGGGAAGUUGGUGUGAUCACUUACCUAUGGCCGAGUUCGCCUACAACAACUGUUGUCAUGCUAAUGUGGAGAUGGCACCGUUCGAGGCUCUUUAUGGGCGGACGUGUCGGUCUCCUAUACACUGGAGCGAUGUGGGUGAGCGUACAGAGUUCGGCCCCGAUGUUCUACGAGAAGCGGAGGAGAAAGUCCGCCUUGCUCGCAAGAGAUUGCUCACGGCGCUGUCGAGACAGCAAAGCUAUGCAGAUAGGCGCCAACGAGAUAUAGAGUUCGCGGUGGGCGACCCCGUGUUCUUGAAGGUUUCACCGAUGCGGGGUGUAAAGCAGUUUGGAGUGCGGGGAAAGUUGAGUCCCCGAUACAUUGGACCCUAUGAAAUAUUGGAGCGAGUUGGCACGGUGGCUUAUCGACUGGCUUUGCCGCCGAAGUUCGCGGAUGUACACAAUGUGUUCUAUGUCUCCAAUCUCCACAAGUAUAUCCACGACCCCCAGCACACAAUGCUAUAUGAGCCACCGGAGCUUCAAGGGGACUUGAGCUAUGAAGAGUUUCCGGUGAUGAUUAUCACACGAGAGGUGCGAAAGUUGAGGAAUCGAGAAAUUCCCUACGUGAAGGUUCGGUGGAGCAAUCAUGAUGAUCGCGAGGCCACCUGGGAACUCGAGGAUCUAAUGAGAAAGCACCACCCUCAUCUGUUCGAGGGGUGAGGUAAAAAGAUUUAAAUUAAAGUUAGAAAAUUAGUCCGUUUCGAGGACGAAACUCCUUUUAAGGAGGGGAGGAUGUAAGGAAGUGAAUUCUCGAAAUCCGAGAGUUGUACUUCGUCCAGGAUCGACUAUUUGUCGAGUGAGUAUCCUUCGGGAAAGCUAAAGUUAUCCAAAACACAAAAAGUGCAUUGGAGUUGAGUCCGCGAGAGCAUAUAGUGCAAAACCUGCACUGGGCUGAAGUUACUCUCGGGGACCGGUCCCUGGCAGGGAGAGACCGGUCCCCGAGGCUGGUGGUUGCUGGGGAUCUUUGAUACAACCGGUCCCUGGCUGAGGGGACGGGUCCCUAGCUGAGGGGACCGGUCCCCGUGUGCGACGCCAGCGAGAGAAGGCCAAAAUCGGCUAAGUCCUGAAAAUCAAGCUCUCGGGGACCAGUCUCUCAGGCGAGGACCGGUCUCCCGAGGACCGGUCUCCCAGGGAGAGACCGAUUCUCGAACGUGAAGAGGCCUUCUGGCCGCCAGGACUGCUCUCGGGGACCGGUCUCCCCGACGAGGGACCGGUCCCUCUGGGCGCAGAAUGCCUAGUGAGGGCUGUGUACAGGGUGAAAAGUUGAGGAGCUAAAUUGGAUUUUGUUACAAUAAAGGGGUAUGUAGGCCCCCUCUCUCUUCCUCAGCCUCUCAUUCUCUCUCUCUCUCUCACUCUCUCUUGCUCCCUCUCUCUCUAGAAAGAGAAGAAGAACAAGAAGAACAAGAAGGAGAGGAAGGAAAAUGAGAAGAAGAAAAAGGAGGUGAAGAAGGAGACCAAGAGGAAGGCCUUGGGCACCUUCAUCUCCCUCUCCUCUUUUCUUUAGUGUAGCUCAAGAGGUAAGCUACCAAACCCUAACUUUGAGAACUUACGAUUUUUGGGUUUUGAGCUUUAAGAUGAGGUCAAAUGGACUUCUAACACCAUUGUUGGUGGAUUAGAGCUAGAGGCUAGGGUUUCAUGGUGCAAAUGGCAUGAUGCUAACCCUAGGGCACCCAAAAUGGAAUUUUUGGAAAUAGAUGAGAUUGAUCUCAUUUGAGGCCUUGUAAACCUAAUUGCUAGGUGUCCAAACGCGUUGGCGGAGUCGGAAUUACGAUUCGUCGAGCGGGUGUAGAGCUAUCGGCAAAGUAGGGACGACCUAGCUUCGUUCCUCCCAAGGAGGCAGGGAACACGUGGUUUGAAGUGCCGAGGAACACUUCUAGAACCUCCACAACGAACAUCGACUACACAAGGUUGGGGGUGUCAUCCCGAAGCAACCGGGCUCUUUUCUAUGUCUUAGAAUAGCAUAUGAUUGCAUCUCUUGCAUGUUGCAUUGUAGGAUUGCAUAGUAGUACCUUUCCUUAUGCUUUCUAAUUGAUAACCUAGUGUACAUGGAACGCUUGGUGACUUGGAUAGGUGAGGAUUGGGUCGGAACAUGAAUCCUAUAAUGCUAAAGAAAAGAGAUGAAACACGAUGGGUGUUUGGUGACAUAGAAAGUAGCGUUUAAAUACUAAAGAACAAACGAGUGGCAUCAAAUGUUAAAGAACAUAUCGAGUGGCAUUAAUGUAGUGUAUUUGACACUAGAGGUCGAUGGACCUAGGGAUAGGUUGAUCCCUUAGAAAAUGCCUUGUGAACAAUGAAUUUAGAAAUGCUAAACAACAUUACAUGAAUGUUGGGAAUAGAUGAUUCCGCGAGAGAUGUUGACCCUAAUUCAUAGGAUAUCCUCACAUGGAGAGGAUAUAGACGAGUGUCUAUUGAGAUGUUGGCCCUAGAGGUAGGGUGUCCCCACAUGGAGGGGAUAGAUCAUGCUCACGGUCUGCUUUGGGGUGGUAUAGCCAUCCAUAUCCUAACGUGGAGAGGAUUGUUAUCGAGUACUCCGGAGUGUCGUGCGAUUUGGACCACUUGGAGGUCCGGACCACAUGGAGGUCCGCAGACGGUCCCGGGUCUGGGAGCACAUAGAGCUCCCCACCCAAUGGGAUGGCCAGGUGAGUCGAGGGCAAACCCAAGGGCUUCGCCACAGAUUGGGUAAAUGAACAGUUAACAAUAUCAUUGAACAUUAAUAUUCGAACAUGGAUCGAAUUUGUUAGCAUGAUAGUAAACCUUUACUAUAUGAUGCAUACAUUCAUUAUACAUGAUUAUGGGCAUAGUUGCAUAGUUUUUCUUUAUGCCUUUACAACUUUCAGAUAUCUAUCUAUCUGUUGUUACUUGUGCCCACUUGGACCUAGUGGGGAGACCGGCGGAGUCGGCGGCCGAGACCACUGGAAACUAUGAAAGAUAAUUCUCAGCCCACUCUAUUUCCAGUGGUAGGUACAGGUUUACCGAGCGAGGGCCGCGGCAAGGGCAUCGCGCCCAAUCAGUGAGACCGUGGUAGUAUAGUAGCUUUCCUUUUUGCAUUAGCACACCUAUGUAUUGAGAGAGAUUCAUGUAGGUGAGGAUUUGGAGAGC
rnacentral:lncRNA from 1 species